GCCGUUGUAGCUCAGUUGGUAGAGCAACUGAUUCGUAAUCAGUAGGUCGAAGGUUCGACUCCUUUCAACGGCACCA
rnacentral:tRNA from 1 species